AAGCGUAUAGUUCAAAGGUAGAGCAACGGUUUCCAAAACCGUAGAUAUGGGUUCGAAUCCUUUUACGCUUG
rnacentral:tRNA from 1 species